AGUGAACGCUGGCGGUAGGCCUAACACAUGCAAGUCGAACGGCAGCACAGUAAGAGCUUGCUCUUACGGGUGGCGAGUGGCGGACGGGUGAGGAAUACAUCGGAAUCUACUUUUUCGUGGGGGAUAACGUAGGGAAACUUACGCCAAUACCGCAUACGACCUACGGGUGAAAGCAGGGGAUCUUCGGACCUCGCGCGAUUGAAUGAGCCGAUGUCGGAUUAGUUAGUUGGCGUGGUAAAGGCCCACCAAGGCGACGAUCCGUAGCUGGUCUGAGAGGAUGAUCAGCCACACUGGAACUGAGACACGGUCCAGGCUCCUACGGGAGGCAGCAGUGGGGAAUAUUGGACAAUGGGCGCAAGCCUGGUCCAGCCAUACCGCGUGGGUGAAGAAGGCCUUCGGGUUGUAAAGCCCUUUUGUUGGGAAAGAAAAGCAGCAGGGUAAUACCCCGCUGUUCUGACGGUACCCAAAGAAUAAGCACCGGCUAACUUCGUG
rnacentral:rRNA from 1 species